rnacentral:rRNA from 1 species
CAGCAGCCGGGUAAUACAGAGGGUGCGAGCGUUAAUCGGAUUUACUGGGCGUAAAGCGUGCGUAGGCGGCUUCUUAAGUCGGAUGUGAAAUCCCUGAGCUUAACUUAGGAAUUGCAUUCGAUACUGGGAAGCUAGAGUAUGGGAGAGGAUGGUAGAAUUCCAGGUGUAGCGGUGAAAUGCGUAGAGAUCUGGAGGAAUACCGAUGGCGAAGGCAGCCAUCUGGCCUAAUACUGACGCUGAGGUACGAAAGCAUGGGGAGCAAACAGGAUUAGAUACCCCCGUAGUCCCUGUCUCUUAUACA